CCUACGGGGGGCAGCAGUGAGGAAUAUUGGUCAAUGGACGCAAGUCUGAACCAGCCAAGUAGCGUGCAGGAUGACGGCCCUCCGGGUUGUAAACUGCUUUUAGUUGGGAAUAAAAGGGGGCUCGUGAGCCCCGUAUUGUAUGUACCAUCAGAAAAAGGACCGGCUAAUUCCGUGCCAGCAGCCGCGGUAAUACGGAAGGUCCGGGCGUUAUCCGGAUUUAUUGGGUUUAAAGGGAGCGUAGAUGGGUUGUUAAGUCAGUUGUGAAAGUUUGCGGCUCAACCGUAAAAUUGCAAUUGAUACUGGCA
rnacentral:rRNA from 1 species